UACGGAGGGUGCAAGCGUUGCUCGGAAUUAUUGGGCGUAAAGGGUAGGUAGGUGGUCUCAUUUGUCUGGGGUGAAAGCCUUGGGCUUAACUCAAGAAGUGCCCCAGAAACGGUGAGACUGGAGUCCUGGAGAGGGUCGUGGAAUUCCCGGUGUAGCGGUGAAAUGCGUAGAGAUCGGGAGGAACACCAGAGGCGAAGGCGGCGACCUGGUCCUUUACUGACGCUGAGGCGCGAAAGCGUGGGGAGCAAACAGG
rnacentral:rRNA from 1 species